rnacentral:rRNA from 1 species
CCAGGCCCUACGGGGUGCAGCAGGCGCGAAACCUCCGCAAUGUGAGAAAUCGCGACGGGGGGAUCCCAAGUGCCAUUCUUAACGGGAUGGCUUUUCAUUAGUGUAAAGAGCUUUUGGAAUAAGAGCUGGGCAAGACCGGUGCCAGCCGCCGCGGUAACACCGGCAGCUCUAGUGGUAGCAGUUUUUAUUGGGCCUAAAGCGUCCGUAGCCGGUUUAACAAGCCUCUGGUGAAAUCCUGCAGCUUAACUGUGGGAAUUGCUGGAGAUACUAUUAGACUUGAGAUCGGGAGAGGUUAGAGGUACUCCCAGGGUAGAGGUGAAAUUCUGUAAUCCUGGGAGGACCGCCUGUUGCGAAGGCGUCUGACUGGAACGAUUCUGACGGUGAGGGACGAAAGCUAGGGGCGCGAACCGGAUUAGAUACCCGGGUAGUCCUAGCUGUAAACGAUGCGGACUUGGUGUUGGGGUGGCUUUGAGCUGUCCCAGUGCCGAAGGGAAGCUGUUAAGUCCGCCGCCUGGGAAGUACGGUCGCAGGACUGAAACUUAAAGGAAUUGGCGGGGGAGCACCACAACGCGUGGAGCCUGCGGUUUAAUUGGAGUCAACGCCGG